rnacentral:rRNA from 1 species
ACCCCUCUUCUUCUUUGGCUGGCCCGCCCCCCCUCCCUCUCCUCUCUCUUCCCCUCCUCCUCCCCUCUCCGCCCCACCCCCGCGUCUCCGGCGAGGGCUCAGGCCGCGGCCCCGUCGACUCGCGCACCUUCUCCGGCAGAGCGCCUCCUCGGCGGAAACAGCGGUCUCGCGGGAGCUCCCUUCCCCUCCCCCAAGGUCUGCGGCGCCGGAUUGGCCUCAUCAGCUCGAAGAUCUCGAUUUUGUUUCCAAGGAAGGAAGGGCUCCUCGUCGCAAAUCUCGAUCUGUGGACUGGUGGGCAGAAAGACUCGCCUUUUAUGGGGCAACCCCGUGAGAAGCCCGUGCCAUGAUUGGGGCAUCAGGGGAGGAGAGGCAGUGGUAGGAGGUACAGCAGGAGGCAGGAGCAGAAGAGCAGGCAAGGAUAGGCAGGACCAAGGAAAAGGAGAGGAGGGAGCUCUCCAUGGGAGGAGAGCCCCUCCUCACCUCCCUCUCCAUGGAGAACAGCAACAGCCAUCCCUGCACCCUCCUCUCCAUGGACCCCGCGGGGUCGCACCCGGCCUCAGCCGAGUCCUCCGGCGGCGGCGGCGCCGGCGCCGUCAACGGGGUCGGCGCCAGUGCUGACAGGGAGCUCUUCAUCAUUCCGCGGCAUGAGUCUGUGCGUCAAGGCCCGCCGGACAUCAACGUCCCGCUGUCGGCAGACCCCUCCCCGCCGCCUGCAUUGUGGAGCCUCGACACGUUUGACAUUUUCGAUGUCGGCCUUGGCACGCACACUCAUGAGUCUGAGGUUGCGCUGACGCUUCCAAAGUCGAGCGGCAACGGCAGUGCUGCAGUCGGCGUCGGCGCGAGGAAGUGCGCUAAGAGGGGGGACAGCAUUUGGGGAGCUUGGUUCUUCUUCAAUCACUACUUCAGGCCUGCACUUGUGGAGAAGGCAAAGGAGAAGGUGACGCGGGACGCGUCUGGGAGCAUCACCGGCUUUGACAAGUCCGAUCUCCGCCUUGAUGUCUUCCUGGUGCAGCAUGACAUGGAGAACUUGUACAUGUGGGUUUUUAAGGAACGGCCUGACAAUGCCCUUGGGAAGAUGCAGCUCCGUAGUUUCAUGAAUGGGCAUUCCAAGCACGGGGAGCCAUCUUUUCCAUUCAGUGCGGACAAGGGCUUUUCAAGGUCGCACCGCAUGCAGCGAAAGCACUACCGUGGUCUGUCCAACCCACAGUGCCUUCAUGGCAUUGAGAUUGUGAACUCACCAAACUUGUCGGCAGUUCCUGAGGCUGACAUGAAGAGGUGGGCUGAGCUUACAGGAAGGGACCUUAAUUUCUCAAUACCGGCUGAAGCGAGUGACUUUGAGUCAUGGAGAAAUCUUCCAAGCACUGAUUUUGAACUUGAUAGGCCACAGCCAGCAGCGUCAAAGGGCGUCGCACAUACCUCUCAUAAUAAUAAUCACAAGAAGGCACUGAAUGGUUCAGGUCUGAACCUAUCUACACCGCCGUCAUCAGACGAUGGGAUGGACCUUUCACCAAAGUGCCACAAACGCCGCAAGGACUUCUUUGGUCAUGGCGUAGAAGAGGAUUGUGCGAUGGCCAAUAAUUCCUGUUCUGAGAGAGAGCAAGAGGUAGAAGUCCACACUGGUGAGCCGUCAUGGAUGCAUGACUUCACUGGUGUGGCAAAGCACGCAAGUGGGCCUGUUACUGCUGCCAAGACUAUAUACGAGGAUGAUGAAGGCUACCUGAUAAUGGUGAGCAUGCUCUUAUCCGAUCCACACAGCGUGAAGGUCACCUGGAGGAACACGCUGACGCAUGGCGUCGUGAAGAUAACAUGUGUGAGCACCGCCCGGAUGCCCUUCAUUAAGAGGCACGACAGGACCUUCAAGCUGACCGACCCUUCCCCUGAGCACUGCCCUCCAGGCGAGUUCGUGAGGGAGAUACCUCUGGCCACAAGGAUCCCAGAGAACGCCAAGAUCGAAGCGUAUUAUGACGAGACCGGUACUGGACUGGAGAUCAUGGUACCAAAGCACCGGGUCGGGCCGGAGGAGCAUGAAGUCCAGGUGCUACAUCACUACAUUGGUGGUGAUCCCCUUGACUAUUCCUUUCUGUGAAACAUGGCAAAGCUAAUAGUACUCGUAUAUAUUCUGUCCCUGUAUAUUCCGAGGAUCGGGUUCAUAAUAAUGUGGACAGCUACUACUCAUGAGCAGAGUCUGUCGAUAUCGCUGUUGUAAUCAUUGUCCUAGGCAUCUUAGCAUACUUGUAUGUAUCGUACUAUAUAGGUAUGACCUGGAUCGCUCUCGGCAUAAAUGGGAACCUAAGAUUCUGUCUACCUGAAUCUGUUCUCGCGCCUGCUUUAUUCGUAGUGCUGAACCAAUGAUGUUCAGGGCCUGGUUUUCACAGCGGUGAUGCUGAAUCUCGCCGUUUCUGGCUCGCUCCGGCGCGCAUUUCUCGGUUCAUCCUGGCUCUUCUGGGUGCUGCGGCGUAAGCAAAGAUGACAUUUCUGCCUGUAUAUUCGCUGACUUGUAUGACCAGGAUCGUUUUGGUCUUGGAUGAAAAUCUGUUAUGUGACUUGAAUUUUCGCGCUUAAGUUUGCGAUUUCUGGUACUGAACGUCUGAGAUACUGAAUCUCACCGCUCCAGCACAAAACUCUCGGUUUCAUCCUUACUUGUGGGUGAUGCUGUGUGAGCAAAUUAGAGGAUAGUUGUACAUGUUUGCAGUGCAAAGGUAUAUUUGCCGAGACUUGGUAGAGGAUCUUUCUUGACUGAUAUGUGGCUGGAUUAUUAGUGAUGAUCAGAGCUCAGUUUUUACAGCAGUAACAACAUCUCGCCGUUUUGUGGCUCAACUCGGGAUGCAUUUCUCGGUUUAUCCUGACUUUUGUGGGUGAUCUCUGGGUUGAUGCUGUGUAAGCGAAGGAGAACAUUUUCCCCACAUUUGCAG